rnacentral:rRNA from 1 species
GUCGGAUUAGCUAGUUGGUGAGGUAAUGGCUCACCAAGGCAGCGAUCCGUAGCUGGUCUGAGAGGAUGAUCAGCCACAUCGGGACUGAGACACGGCCCGAACUCCUACGGGAGGCAGCAGUGGGGAAUAUUGGACAAUGGGGGCAACCCUGAUCCAGCCAUGCCGCGUGUGUGAAGAAGGCCCUCGGGUUGUAAAGCACUUUCAGCGAGGAAGAACGCCUAGUGGUUAAUACCCAUUAGGAAAGACAUCACUCGCAGAAGAAGCACCGGCUAACUCCGUGCCAGCAGCCGCGGUAAUACGGAGGGUGCAAGCGUUAAUCGGAAUUACUGGGCGUAAAGCGCGCGUAGGUGGCUUGAUAAGCCGGUUGUGAAAGCCCCGGGCUCAACCUGGGAACGGCAUCCGGAACUGUCAGGCUAGAGUGCAGGAGAGGAAGGUAGAAUUCCCGGUGUAGCGGUGAAAUGCGUAGAGAUCGGGAGGAAUACCAGUGGCGAAGGCGGCCUUCUGGACUGACACUGACACUGAGGUGCGAAAGCGUGGGUAGCAAACAGGAUUAGAUACCCUGGUAGUCCACGCCGUAAACGAUGUCGACCAGCCGUUGGGUGCCUAGCGCACUUUGUGGCGAAGUUAACGCGAUAAGUCGACCGCCUGGGGAGUACGGCCGCAAGGUUAAAACUCAAAUGAAUUGACGGGGGCCCGCACAAGCGGUGGAGCAUGUGGUUUAAUUCGAUGCAACGCGAAGAACCUUACCUACCCUUGACAUCGACAGAAGCCGAGAGAGAUCUUGGUGUGCCUUCGGGAACUGUCAGACAGGUGCUGCAUGGCUGUCGUCAGCUCGUGUUGUGAAAUGUUGGGUUAAGUCCCGUAACGAGCGCAACCCUUGUCCUUAUUUGCCAGCGCGUAAUGGCGGGAACUCUAAGGAGACUGCCGGUGACAAACCGGAGGAAGGUGGGGACGACGUCAAGUCAUCAUGGCCCUUACGGGUAGGGCUACACACGUGCUACAAUGGCCGGUACAAAGGGCAGCGAGCUCGCGAGAGUCAGCGAAUCCCUUAAAGCCGGUCUCAGUCCGGAUCGGAGUCUGCAACUCGACUCCGGAAGUCGGAAUCGCUAGU